rnacentral:lncRNA from 1 species
CCAGGUUAAAUGGCCAAACUCAGAACGGAAUAAAAGAGGCAAGAGGUAUAAGAAAGCCUGCUGGGCACCAGCCUCUCUCUUUACUUCCUGGCUGUGGAUGCAAUGUGACUAGUUGCCUGCGACCCUGCUGCCACAGCUGGAGCUGCUCUUCAUGCUAUGCUUCUCUACAGGGCUGGAUGAUGCCUUCAAGCACUGAGCCCAAAGGAGCCUUAGAUUGUCAGGUACCCCCCUCCAGUCUGCUUUGUGUGCCACUCUUCUAAACACAAAAGGAGGUGCCUUGCUGCCUCUGAUGUGUUUGGAGCAAGGCUGAAGAGGCUGCCAAGAAGCUUCAGUUCAGCUUCUUGAAGAUUUCAGUCCUGGCUACCUGUCUGUGGAAGGUUUGGCAGCACAAAUUUCCCACCAAAGAAACUUUUGUGGGUUGGUUAGUUACUUACAAGUCAACUUCACACAAAUCUAGGCAUAGCUUGGAAGAAGGACUUUUAAUUGAGAAAAUGCCUCCACCAGAUUGGUCUGUAGGCGUGUCUGUGGGGAUAUUGUCUUGGUUAAUGAUUGAUGUGGGAGGGCCCAGCUUAUUGUAGGAGGUGCCAGUCUUGGACAGGUGGUCUUAGGUUGUAUAAGAAAGCAAACUGAGCAAGCCAUCGAGAGAAACCCAGUAAAGAGCAUUUCCUCCAUGUCUUCUGCUUCAGUUUCUGCUUCCCGGUUCCUGCUCUGCUUGAGUCCCUGUCUUGACUUGCCCGAAUGAUGGAUUGUGACUGGGGCAUGGAAGCCAAAUAAACCCUUUUCUUCCAAAGUUGCUUUUGGUGUUUACUAUAGCAACAGAAAAGUAAUGAAGAGACCAGUUGAGUCCCUAUUUAGGGAAGACCUAUUGAGAAGCCCUCUAGGUAACUUCUGGUGGCCAGAGUAAUGAAGGAAAGAAAAAGGCAUCUCAGAACUUCAGUGUCCUCUAUUUCUUUGUAAGAAACAAAGACAGGAAUGUUGUCAUAGACAAUUCAGUUUGUGGAACUCAAUUGUUGACUCAUACAAUUCAAUAAUAGAAAGCACAUCCCUAAAGAUGAUCACAGUAAAUGGACCAAGAGUGCCAUCUUCAACUUGUAGACACUGCCGGGCAGGAUGAAAGCCCUAUUUUCCCCAGGCAUACUUCAUAGACAUCGAUCAAUUUAUUUUUGUGGAUUGUUACUUCAACCAAAAGUUUUCAAAUGACUAAUGUUACCUGUGACAAAUUGUUGGAUGUAUUGAGGAAAGCCCAAUAACUUUUUUUAAAGACUAAUGUAUGGAAAGAGAGAUCAGUUAUACAGAAGGGAAAAUUUGGCAGAAUCUGGAAAUGCUGCUUUUUUGGAAUCCUCUGCUAAAAAACCCAAAAAGGCAGCUGCUGGGAGUUAAAGGGAGGACUGACUAUAGGGGCCCCAGUAUUAGUGUGAUACUUUUGUAAAGGGAUGAUAGUGAGUCUGAAAGGAUGGAUAUCUAGCCCCAUGGGGAAAGUCUUCAUGCUCCGUGAGCUGAACCCAAGGACCCAAGGACCCAAGGACGUGGCACUAAAUUCUACCUGGAGAGCAAACUGUGGUCACCAUUGACAGUAACUGUACCUCUUUUCCCUUCUGCUAAUCUGAGCGAUGGCAUUUGGGUCAGAGCUCCUUCCCUUUCAGGUUAUGUCAAUGUCCGACUCUGUCCAAAUGAGUUUACUUGCAUUUUCAAUUUUUUUAUAUAAACAGUUUAUUUACUCUAAACAGCAACACAGACAAAAUGCCAUAUAAACACAAAGGAAAAGGUGCAGAAUGGAGACGCUGGCCAACUUUGGAUCUGAGGCUCAUAAGCAACAACCCAGGUUUCUGAGGAGGAUGAG